UACAGGGGGUGCAAACGUUGCUCGGAAUUAUUGGGCGUAAAGCGCGCGUAGGCGGCUACUUAAGUCGGAUGUGAAAGCCCUUGGCUCAACUGAGGAAGUGCACCCGAAACUGAGUGGCUAGAGUACGAAAGAGGGUCGCGGAAUUCCCGGUGUAGAGGUGAAAUUCGUAGAUAUCGGGAGGAACACCGGUGGCGAAGGCGGUUCUCUGGGCCUUACCUGACACUGAGGAGCGAAAGCGUGGGGAGCGAACAGG
rnacentral:rRNA from 1 species